AUAUAUAUGUAGCUGUCUCGAUAGUUUAACGUCAGACCCGGAAAAUAAUUUAAUAAAGGCUCAUAAUAAAACUGACGAGUUUCUCUUUUUAAAGUGCAAGCCUUUGGAAAAGGUUGUUAAGUGCACUUUUGACUGGUGUUAUUCAAGUGAGUUUUAUGGCUAUGAAACUGAAACACUUUGCGUCUUUUCUAUGAAAAGAGUUA